AUUGAACGCUGGCGGCAUGCCUUACACAUGCAAGUCGAACGGUAACAGGUCUUCGGUUGCUGACGAGUGGCGAACGGGUGAGUAAUACAUCGGAACGUGCCCGAUCGUGGGGGAUAACGAGGCGAAAGCUUUGCUAAUACCGCAUACGAUCUACGGAUGAAAGCGGGGGAUCUUCGGACCUCGCGCGGACGGAGCGGCCGAUGGCAGAUUAGGUAGUUGGUGGGUUAAAAGCUUACCAAGCCGACGAUCUGUAGCUGGUCUGAGAGGAUGAUCAGCCACACUGGGACUGAGACACGGCCCAGACUCCUACGGGAGGCAGCAGUGGGGAAUUUUGGACAAUAGGCGAAAGCCUGAUCCAGCCAUGCCGCGUGCAGGAUGAAGGCCUUCGGGUUGUAAACUGCUUUUGUACGGAACGAAAAGCCUCUUUCUAAUAAAGAGGGGUCAUGACGGUACCGUAAGAAUAAGCACCGGCUAACUACGUG
rnacentral:rRNA from 1 species